rnacentral:lncRNA from 1 species
GCCAGAGUGUUGUAGCUGCACAGAGGAAACAUGACAGGCCCUGAGCCUGAGCUUUGCAGGAUUGUCACACAUGUGAGACGUAUCUGAUGCAGAUGUGUUAAUCUGACCUCCUCCUUCUCCUGCUGCCAGCUUUCAGCAACAACAACUUUGAAUCUGCAAGGACUCCUCAGCCAACCCAACACAAACCACAAGGUUUCACCUGGUCUGACCGCGAUCAUUUAUUCUGGCAUCAUGGAGCUCGAUCGGUUGGGCAUUCACGAUGAGGAUGAUGAAGAUGAUGCAGCCACUCAGUACAUGAUUGAACAGAGUCUGCUGGAGAGCAGCAAGCAGAAGGAGACGCACAGAAACGCCACAACGCGGGACGACAGGAGCAGCUCAGAAUCUGCAGACAUCAGCAAGAUCUUCACUGCUAUUAGACAAGGUGAGACAAGAUGAACACUUCUGAUUUUAUUGUUAAAUAAUAAAAAUAAG